GUUAAUGUAGCUUAACAACUUAAAGCAAGGCACUGAAAAUGCCUAGAUGAGUACACAAUACUCCAUAAACA
rnacentral:tRNA from 1 species